rnacentral:rRNA from 1 species
GACGAACGCUGGCGGCGUGCUUAACACAUGCAAGUCGAGCGGUAAGGCCCUUUCGGGGGUACACGAGCGGCGAACGGGUGAGUAACACGUGGGUGACCUGCCUUUAGCUCUGGGAUAAGCCUGGGAAACUGGGUCUAAUACCGGAUAUGACUCCGCGGUGCAUGCUGUGGGGUGGAAAGCCUUGUGCGGCUGAGGAUGGGCCCGCGGCCUAUCAGCUUGUUGGUGGGGUGAUGGCCUACCAAGGCGACGACGGGUAGCCGGCCUGAGAGGGCGACCGGCCACACUGGGACUGAGACACGGCCCAGACUCCUACGGGAGGCAGCAGUGGGGAAUCUUGCGCAAUGGGCGAAAGCCUGACGCAGCGACGCCGCGUGAGGGAUGACGGCCU